GCAGUGGUAGUUCAGAGGUAGAAUUCUUGCCUUCCAUGCAGGAGAUCUGGGUUCGAUUCCUGGCCAGUGCA
rnacentral:tRNA from 1 species